AUAAAAAGGCGAACAGCUGCUGAGACUAUUUUUGGAACCACAUAACUCGCACUAUUAUAGUGAAACUAUAGUGCAGUUAUACCGAAAGCGUUCAUGCCAUGUAGACAUCUGAUUGUCAGUUGUUGACUGGCAGAUUGAGGUAUAAUCGGCUCUGCAGUCAUUUUGUAGAUACCUUUUAGGUGUAGGCUGAGGUGGGAUCGAUGCCGCAGGUUACAUUUGCGAUUCCAUUUCGUGCCUCUUUAUCGAGCGUGUGGCUGGCGUACAAUAACGGCCUCUAUAUAUAUGGACAACAUACCGGAUGGACGGAAAGCACCAUCCCCGGAAAGCAGGCGUCGGGCUCGGUUAUCCUUCGAUGAUGAUGAUGAAGACGAUUACGAUAUUCAAUCUGCACGCACAGGAAAUAGGUCAGCAUUCAACAGCGACAUGCAGCGGCCAAAGAUGGUGUACUCCAGGGCGGAAGACGAAGAAGCUGGUUUUAUGGAAACCAAGCCUAUCAUCGCGCGAACAUUAGCCAGGCAGUCAAUUGAUAAACAUAUCACUGAACAAGAAGUGGAAGCAAUUGCUUUAGAUGGACUUGGAGGGAGAGAUGACGAAGAAUCAAGAUACCACAAAGACCGACCACGAGCGCCAAGAGUUCCCUUUCGAGGCAGCAGAGUUAGCACGGACGACCAGCAUAGCGAAGAAUUGCGUCGGCAUUUCCAACGGCGCAGCUCCUUGCGUAAAGCACCGGAAGUCGCAGCUGGCAACUUGGACAUGGGAACUGGAUUGUCUUCGGAUCGCAUUUCCUCUCCGAACCCGCCAGGGACAAAUGAAAAAAUUGAUGCUUGGCUGGACGAGAUGAAACGGAAUCGGCCGCGUUCGGCUGCUGUUACAAAGAUUCAGUAUUCAAACCCAAUGCCGGACACGGAAACAUUAAUGCAGGGAUGGCCGAGUGGUAUGGAGCACAUGUUGCGUUAUCCAGAACAAACCAUUUCCAAUCUCGACUGUUCUCUGGAGGAAUAUAUCGAUAUUAUUUGUGUCUGUUGUAAGGUGUUAUUGACCUUGGACAUUUUGAAGUCAAGGAUGAAAGCUAUGGAUAAAUGCAGAAUAAAUUUCAAAGAUGUUUUUGACGAAAUUAUAGCAAGUAGCAAGGUGGAAUGCUGGUGGAAUGAUCUGUUCAGCUUAUAUUUAGAUUUCAAGGACAUUCCAAGCGCUGGUGGGCAUCCCGGUGUAUGAUGGCAACAGGAUGGAAUCGCUACACCAUCUGUUCAGCUUAUAUUUAGAUUUCAAGGACAUUCCAAGGUCUAUGUGAUAGUUACGACCGGCGGAUCAUAUACAUGCGAAAAGGCUUUAUCGCCAGAAAAUUGGCUCAGAUCUAUGGACUAAUGGUCUUGCGCAAGCAUACGGGAUUCAGCUUGGUGUUGCAAUUUGUACAUGUUAUCGAUUUUUUACUCAGUGAGCACGGCAGUGAGCACGCUGAGCAGAACGCAUGCGGCGCAUUAAAGGUUUGGUCCUGGGGGCGCCUGUACAGCAAGAAGAUUUUUGUACUCGUAAUGUCUAAUUACAUCCUCUUCAGUGCUGUGUGACUGGAGUAAAUAGGAAAAAAUAAAGCGCGAAACAAUU